GAUGAACGCUGGCGGCGUGCCUAAUACAUGCAAGCCGAGCGAACGGACGAGAAGCUUGCUUCUCUGAUGUUAGCGGCGGACGGGUGAGUAACACGUGGAUAACCUACCUAUAAGACUGGGAUAACUUCGGGAAACCGGAGCUAAUACCGGAUAAUAUUUUGAACCGCAUGGUUCAAAAGUGAAAGACGGUCUUGCUGUCACUUAUAGAUGGAUCCGCGCUGCAUUAGCUAGUUGGUAAGGUAACGGCUUACCAAGGCAACGAUGCAUAGCCGACCUGAGAGGGUGAUCGGCCACACUGGAACUGAGACACGGUCCAGACUCCUACGGGAGGCAGCAGUAGGGAAUCUUCCGCAAUGGGCGAAAGCCUGACGGAGCAACGCCGCGUGAGUGAUGAAGGUCUUCGGAUCGUAAAACUCUGUUAUUAGGGAAGAACAUAUGUGUAAGUAACUGUGCACAUCUUGACGGUACCUAAUCAGAAAGCCACGGCUAACUACGUGCCAGCAGCCGCGGUAAUACGUAGGUGGCAAGCGUUAUCCGGAAUUAUUGGGCGUAAAGCGCGCGUAGGCGGUUUUUUAAGUCUGAUGUGAAAGCCCACGGCUCAACCGUGGAGGGUCAUUGGAAACUGGAAAACUUGAGUGCAGAAGAGGAAAGUGGAAUUCCAUGUGUAGCGGUGAAAUGCGCAGAGAUAUGGAGGAACACCAGUGGCGAAGGCGACUUUCUGGUCUGUAACUGACGCUGAUGUGCGAAAGCGUGGGGAUCAAACAGGAUUAGAUACCCUGGUAGUCCACGCCGUAAACGAUGAGUGCUAAGUGUUAGGGGGUUUCCGCCCCUUAGUGCUGCAGCUAACGCAUUAAGCGCUCCGCCUGGGGAGUACGACCGCAAGGUUGAAACUCAAAGGAAUUGACGGGGACCCGCACAAGCGGUGGAGCAUGUGGUUUAAUUCGAAGCAACGCGAAGAACCUUACCAAAUCUUGACAUCCCUUGACAACUCUAGAGAUAGAGCUUUCCCCUUCGGGGGACAAAGUGACAGGUGGUGCAUGGUUGUCGUCAGCUCGUGUCGUGAGAUGUUGGGUUAAGUCCCGCAACGAGCGCAACCCUUAAGCUUAGUUGCCAUCAUUAAGUUGGGCACUCUAAGUUGACUGCCGGUGACAAACCGGAGGAAGGUGGGGAUGACGUCAAAUCAUCAUGCCCCUUAUGAUUUGGGCUACACACGUGCUACAAUGGACAAUACAAAGGGCAGCGAAACCGCGAGGUCAAGCAAAUCCCAUAAAGUUGUUCUCAGUUCGGAUUGUAGUCUGCAACUCGACUACAUGAAGCUGGAAUCGCUAGUAAUCGUAGAUCAGCAUGCUACGGUGAAUACGUUCCCGGGUCU
rnacentral:rRNA from 1 species